UACGGGGGGGGCAAGCGUUGUUCGGAAUUACUGGGCGUAAAGGGCUCGUAGGCGGCCAACUAAGUCAGACGUGAAAUCCCCAGGCUUAACCUGGGAACUGCGUCUGAUACUGGAUGGCUUGAGAUUGGGAGAGGGAUGCGGAAUUCCAGGUGUAGCGGUGAAAUGCGUAGAUAUCUGGAGGAACACCGGUGGCGAAGGCGACAUCCUGGACCAACACUGACGCUGAGGAGCGAAAGCCAGGGGAGCAAACAGG
rnacentral:rRNA from 1 species